ACAUGGAGUUUCUCUCAAAAUGACACCUGUGUGAGCUAUUGGAAAGGAAGCUCAUGGACUUACUUAAUUCUCAUAACCACAGGAACAAAACCAAGGAGGAAUUUCCUGAGUUUUGCCUGCAGCACAUAAAAAAGAGAAGAGGCACUGCUGUUUUUUUUUUUCCCCAGGCUGCAGAAAAUCUCUGAGCUGUUCUUGUAGACUUCUCCAGUUCUUGUUCUAGACUGUAUGGAGCAGGCCUCUUAUGAAGAAGGAAUGCAGGAAUAUUGCCUCUCCAUCAGCACCAUCACAUCCUGUUAUGCCGUGAUUUGUCUGGAAGAGGAAGCAUCAAGCCUGCGUACCUUGUGGAACUGUACCACGGCAGCCAUCAGACCGUCCUGUCUGCCUCAGCUACGUCUGGGUGCAGACUGGAGGAGCACAUCAGAGUUGAAGCGGUCGGACAGUGAUGCACCCCGAUACCUCUCCAGAUGGGACCCUGCCAUGCUGCGGAGCCCGUCGAAGCACCCGGCUGACAGGCACCUGCCUCACGUUUGGAGGUGCGUGCCUUGCUGAGUUCUACCGGGGGCAGAAAUUCCUAGACGAGGGAGCCCGCAGCCGGGGAAGCAUCUGGUAGGAUGAAAAAAUGCUGUCUUGUACUCUGUCAAGUGUAAUUAGAGUUGCCGGUUGUCAUCGCUGCUAGCAUUUGGUUAAGUAAGUUUCUCUGAUGAGAAGCUAUCUGACAAAAGCCAACGCCACCUAAAGUUACGAGCAACGCAAUUGCAAAGUAUCUUUUAAAGUCUUAUUUCUAGUCUUUAGUCUAGCUCAAUAAGAUGCAAGGGUUUCAGCAAGUUGCAAAAAAUUGCAUUAAUAAAGAAACUCAGAAUAAUUUGCUUUUAACA
rnacentral:lncRNA from 1 species